AACGAACGCUGGCGGCAGGCUUAACACAUGCAAGUCGAGCGCCCCGCAAGGGGAGCGGCAGACGGGUGAGUACCGCGUGGGAACGUACCUUUUGGUUCGGAACAACUCCGGGAAACUGGAGCUAAUACCGGAUAAGCCCUAACGGGGAAAGAUUUAUCGCCGAAAGAUCGGCCCGCGUCUGAUUAGCUAGUUGGUGAGGUAACGGCUCACCAAGGCGACGAUCAGUAGCUGGUCUGAGAGGAUGAUCAGCCACACUGGGACUGAGACACGGCCCAGACUCCUACGGGAGGCAGCAGUGGGGAAUAUUGGACAAUGGGCGCAAGCCUGAUCCAGCCAUGCCGCGUGAGUGAUGAAGGCCUUAGGGUUGUAAAGCUCUUUUGUCCGGGAAGAUAAUGACUGUACCGGAAGAAUAAGCCCCGGCUAACUUCGUG
rnacentral:rRNA from 1 species